rnacentral:rRNA from 1 species
UACGUAGGGGGCAAGCGUUGUCCGGAUUCAUUGGGCGUAAAGAGCGUGUAGGCGGCCUGGAAGGUCAGCUGUGAAAACUCGAGGCUCAACCUCGAGACGUCGGUUGAAACCACUUGGCUAGAGUCCGGAAGAGGAGAGUGGAAUUCCUGGUGUAGCGGUGAAAUGCGCAGAUAUCAGGAAGAACACCUAUGGCGAAGGCAGCUCUCUGGGACGGUACUGACGCUGAGACACGAAAGCGUGGGGAGCGAACAGG